GACGAACGCUGGCGGCGUGCCUAAUACAUGCAAGUCGAACGAAGCUGUUUUAACUGGUGCUUGCACCGACUUAAACAACUGAGUGGCGAACGGGUGAGUAACACGUGGGUAACCUGCCCCAAAGCGUGGGAUAACAUUUGGAAACAGAUGCUAAUACCGCAUAACCACAGAAACCACAUGGUUUCUGUGUCAAAGAUGGUUUCGGCUAUCACUUUGGGAUGGACCCGCGGCGUAUUAGCUAGUUGGUAAGGUAAUGGCUUACCAAGGCAAUGAUAAGUAGCCGAACUGAGAGGUUGAUCGGCCACAUUGGGACUGAGACACGGCCCAAACUCCUACGGGAGGCAGCAGUAGGGAAUCUUCCACAAUGGACGAAAGUCUGAUGGAGCAACGCCGCGUGAGUGAAGAAGGUUUUCGGAUCGUAAAACUCUGUUGUCAGAGAAGAACGUGUGCGAGAGUAACUGCUCGUGCAGUGACGGUAUCUGGCCAGAAAGCCAUGGCUAACUACGUGCCAGCCGCCGCCGUAA
rnacentral:rRNA from 1 species